CACAUUAAAACCAUACUAAACAUUAUUUUGAUGAUUGAGAAAGCAUUUCCUACUUCCUUCACUAAACAUUUAUUGAACUUCACCUAUUAGUUUCAGCAUCUUCCCCAGCUGGAGGUAUAGGGAUGAGUAAAAGUAGUCCUGUCUGUGACAGUUUGGUGGGGAAGAACACCUUACAGAUCAUUACUACAGAGACAGUGUGUGCAGGGUUAAGAUGGAAGGCCCUGAAGGCAGAGGGACCAGGAGCCUAGUCUGGGCUUUACCACUUAUGCUAAUUGCCCAGCUUCUCUCAGUCUUGCUGAAGUCAUCAAGCAGCACAUCGCUGGCGUGUUGGGAGAGUCAGACGUGAAAGUGCCUGUGACUCGGCUGAGCACUGCCUGCCUUUAGCAAGCACUCAGGAAACGGUAGGCAUCACCGUAUGUGCAAAUACUCUGUGACAGGUGUGGCUGGUAUUUGCUUCCUUUGCAAUGUCUUCAUGAUAAGCAACCCAUGACUGGUCAACCUUAACGGUUUAUGGUGACCGUGUUUGCUCUUGAUAAAUUUGGAGGAAAAUCUCAUCUUUUUACCCUGGAGUUGGAACUUGUUGUCAGUUAAGGGUCCCAAUCUCAUGAAAUGGCUGAACACCUUAACCAGAUCCCCCAGGCCUGGGGCCAGCUUUCCUGGGUACUCAUCCUUCUUCUAACAGAUCUGGUAAGGAAGAAGAACUGAAAACAGGGGCUAAUGAGUUUGCUGAUAACUAAGGACUCCAGUUCCCUUCUCAGAUUCAUCUUUGCCUUCUCAGACAAAAACACAUGCUUGCUACUGUCAAGAAGGCCGUGGCGUGAAUGCCUUUUGUCAAAACCCACUGAGUCAGUAGACCUUCCUGAGCUCCGCCCUUUGCCAGGUGCUGUGCUAGGCUCUGGGGGUAUGAAGGUCAGCACAGCAACAGCCUGGUGGGGGCAGAGACUCCUCAGAUAAGCAUGCAGAUGCUCGAUUACACCUAAGAGCUCUCUGAGUGAAGAGCAGAGCGCAGGGACCCUGAUACAGACUGGAGCAUAGGUCUGUGGGGGUCAGGGAAGAGUCACUUAGGGAAGUACCGUCGAAAACACCUUUCACCCUGCAGAGGAGCUGGUGGUUUUCUGACUACUCCCAAACCGCCCACAGCUCAGGAAAUCGAAGUUUAGUCAAAUCAAUUGUUUGAUUACAUUACGAAAAAAUCUAAGUUGAUAUGAAUUAUUCUAUCACUGAAUUGUACACAUAACAUUAAACAUGACAUUGUUCAUGUUGUCUCACAAAUACUUUUUUUAAAAAAAAUUAUUUAUUUGUGUAUUUGAGAGAGAGAGAGAGAGGUCUUCCAUCACUGGUUCACUCUCCAAAAUUGAGGUUGAAGUCAGGAGCCAGGAAUUCCAUCCGGAUCUCCCAAAUGGUGCAGGGACUCAAAUACUUGAGCCAUUAUCUGCUACUUCUCCAGAAACAUUAGCAGGGAGCUGAAUUGGUAACAAUAGUUGGGACUGGAACUAGUACUCUGAUACAGGAUGCUGGCAUAACAAGCAGUGGCUUAACCCUCUGCACCACAAUGCUUACCAAGAUUUUCAUUUCAUUGACUAUCAAAAUAAACUCCUUCACCUCCAGAUUGAUUUUAUCCUUAAUAACACACACACAUACACACACAAAUACAGUUAUUUAUAAGCACUGCCCAGAAUUAGGAAAAAUUUAUAAGACGAUAGCAUGACCCUAGAUAAGUUCUUUGUUCCUUGCCUGGGAGGACUGCUUUGCUGUCAAACCAUAUUUCAUGUAUAAAUAAGGCAUUUCUCGGUGGUCUGCCUUUUAUUUUGUGGAGGUUGACUGGGGAAGGGUGAAUUUCAGCACACAUUUAAAAGUGCUUAUCUGGUAGAGAGACUUACAAUCUCUGAAAUACUGUGUAAAAUGUUAUUUUCAGAUUUCCUCUGAAAUGUAUUAAUAUAUUUCAAGCAUAAGGAGGAAAAGCAUGAUUUUAGAGGUUAUCUAGCCAUUUAAUCUUUUUAUUAGUGCAUUCACUCUCAUUUGUUUCAGCCUUAAGUAAAUAAAAGGUUGAUAUUAAAAAAAGACUCUUGUAGCUAUUACAUAUGAAAUCUACUCAAAUUGAUUGGGUGCUCUUCAGUGAUUUCCUACAGUGUGAUCAUUUCUUCCUUUUUACAUUUUCCUCCCGCAAUCACCAGUAAGUAAUGUAUUCAUCAAAUGUAAGAGAGUGCCCGCACAGAAUGUCUCCCUUGCGGGGGCGGACAGUUGAUCAGUUCCCUCGCUAGCUGGACUCGAGCACGGCAGUCAGUGAGGUCUUAGCAAGCAGCUUGGCUGUGUUGUCCUGCUAAUCAUCACCAGAAAUGAACUCAUCUAUGGAACCGUUAGAUGCAAAAGUAAACAAACUCCUUUAGCAGAACAUUGUCACAAUAUCAGAGUGCUGCUUGGACAAGGAAAGGAUGAGUGUCAUUUAGCUUUGCUGUUACUGCAGGAAGCCAUUUUCUUUUUGCUCAAAGUGGUACCUUUCAGCUGAUGUUUUCCCUUGGGCUUAAAUAUUGAUAUAAAAUGUUAGCAAAACUAACUACAAAUAAUGUUAUCAAAUAAGCUCUCUGAUUGGUCCUUUAAUUAUCUGGAAGCCCAAGGGUUUUCUGCUUUUUAAUGAAGUCAUAUGUUAGUCGUGAAUUAUUUGAUUUUUGUGUAUUAUUUCAUACUACACCCUACAUCCUAAAAUGAAAGGUCAUAGUAGCCCCCAUAUCCUCUCUAAAGUUUUCUUUCAAUUCCAUUUUCCAUGAAAUUUUGGAAGUACCCACAUAGAAGGAAAACAGAACAUAGAAGCCUGGAGACAGGGAAGAAAAUGUAAUUUAUAAUGGAUGUGUCAUACACCAAAUGGAUGAUGGGAGAAAGCAAAUGGUUUCCUUCUUUUCUCUGAUACUUAAUUCUGCCUCCAUAUUGGGAAGUUUUUUCCUCACUUCAGGAAUUGUACAACCUGUAUGGACUUCUGCAUCCAACCCUGUCUGCUGGAAAUUGCACAGAACCCCACUGGUGAGCAGCUGGACUAGACCCUCCCUUAGCGGCCCAACUUCAGAGGUCAAUCGCAGCUCCAGGUGACCUGUACUUCUGACCUACUAUGUAUAAAGCAGAGGUUCCCACACCCGCCCCUCACAUUCAGUUCGCUCGGAGAACUCAGGAAAACAGUUCUGCUACUAGAUUACUCCUUAAAGGACAACACUCAGGCUAGGGCUUCUAUGGUCUGUGGGCGGGCUGUGGGUCUGCAUGCGAUUUGGUAGAGGGCGCUCUGCACAUCUUGGAACCUUGUAAUCCCUUAUUUGGCACUCUGUUGCAGACCUGUAGAAGGCUGAACUAGAGGCGACUUGGACUCUAGGGUACCACACGCUCUGUCUUGGAGCCCUUGGAGGUACCGCGUGAUCUCGCCUUCCUCUUGGGACUGGGUGCUGGAUUGCGCGAGACAUUUGACGCUGUAAUGCAGGCGGCACUGCGCCCUGCUUGGAUGCGCCGCGCCCCCCAAGAGCAGUCAAUGUGUUCCCGCCGGCUUGGGUCCCAGAAGCAGCGGUACAAGAAGGCACCGCAAGGUUUGGUGCAUAUUCGGUUGUGGACUUGGCAGUGCACGAAGAGGGCUGUGGUUUGAUCCAUACUCGGUGCCAUACUCUGUACACCGUCUCAGGCACAGUCUAGGAAGCACUUCUUGGGCCACCUACAGGGUUUGGUUCUCUUCCCCAGCAUCUUCAUGCUGUUGCAGAACAACACCCCAAACUAGUUGGAGGUGUUACUACAGAAUUCCCAAACCCGGGUCCACCCACCCUAUGCGCAGAAAGGCCAUCACUGACAAGCCGGGUGAGAAAAAGCAGGUAUUUAAUUGCAAAGCCCGGAGCAAGCAGCCCUGUAGCUAUUGCCUAAUUUCUGGAGCUCACCAAGGAGUUAGGAGUGAAGGUUCUUACAGAUUUAUUUGGGGCUGAGAGGUGUGUGAUCAGCUCAUGUUCAGCUUCCCAGUGCCCGGGACCUUCUUUUCCUUGGUCUGCGCCCUUGCUGUGUAGGGAAUUUAUGAUAGGUGGGCUUCAGUUGGUCUGGAUGAUUGGGAUCAAAUGAAAGUGGUAGUUAGUUACCUUCUAAACUCAGACGUGGAAUUCCCCUAAACAAAUCCCUCUGGACAGCAUUGGCUGUCAGGGUUUUAUCUAUUGGAGGAAGAAAUGAUUUUUUGUUUGAUGAUUAGAAUCUUGUUGGGCCAGCUGUAUCUUCCCUCAGUUCAGUGAAUUCCUUUCGAUAAAAAACAGGCAAGGACACUUUUGGACUCGGGGAGACAGACACAAGGCUGGACCUGCCUUUGUUUUAGUUGAAAAUCAAAGUUACAGACACACAGAGAGAGAGAGAGAGAGAGAGAGAGAGAGCGUUUGCAUCUGCCUGUAAUGGCCAGAGCUGGGUCGAGCCAGGAGCUUCAUCUGGGUUUUCCAGGACACGGGAUGGCAGGGACCCAAACACUUCUGCUUUCACAAGCCAUUAACUGGGAGCUGGGUCGGAAGUGGAGCAACUGGGACUAUAAUCUGCACUCAGAUACGAUGUCCAAGUCACAGGUGCGGCUUUACUCACUUCAGCACCGGUGCUGUACCCGCCCGUCUUUUUGUUUGAGAAUUUUUGCAGUAUCCUAUGUCCCAAUCUCUCAUCUUAGAACUGUUUGCAGUAGGAUGUACCUUUGGGGUAGCCUGGGCCACGGUGUCUCGUGCGGGAACCAUUUGCAGUACCAAAUGCACCAGUCUGCUCCUCUUGGAAUUUUUGUGGUUCCCUCUGCCCAAGUAAACUCAUUUUGGGACUCUUUGCAGUGCCAAAAUGCCCAGUUUUCUUACCUUGAAAUUUUAGGGUACUGUGGGCUCCAGGCGGCUCAUCUUGGAACCUCCCAGAAUUGCUUGCGCCCCGAAUGGCCACCACCCUGUCCUGUGCAGUGCCACAAGCUCUGCUGCUCGAACGGAGACCUGCACACCACAUCUAUUCCAGCACCAUGCCGCGUGCUCCGCAGAAAGCAGUGCCACUCACCAAGGACUCAGCUCUUCCAGCUCCCUGGUUUAGGUUGGGAAAGUAUGGCAGUCGCCGACAAAGAAACAACGCACGCGAACCGUAGCGAUUGAGCAGCAAGCGCGCCCACAGGGCGAAGCGCUCUUCGGCUGGGGUCGUUGUCUGUCAGUGGGUAACUAAACUGUGCCGGUUGUUCUAACAACGUACCCCAGACUUGUUUUGAGCAAGUGCAGUAAGAUGCAGACAGGAGCGUGACCGCCAAGAAGGAAGCUUUUUUAUAUUAGACACCAGAGGCACAGCGCCACACAGGGCCACAGCAGGGAAGUGCCCAGUGCCAUGAGCAACCAGAGAGCAGACUUGCGGGCGGGAGUCUUACGGUGGUUCUGAAUAAAAUAACGUAAAGAAGCGGUACAAAUCUAGGAUUGCUCUCCACCUUUUUUUUUUCCAGAAUUUUUUUUUUUUGUAAAAAACGUAACCAUUUUAAAUAGUGCGAAGUGUAAUCAUUCGCCUUGUUGUACAACUUAUCCAUUAAACAUUUUUAUCCUUCAGAUAUGAAGCUUUAGGAACAUGUAUGAUUUCAGAAAUAUCUGCACCAAACUAAAGGCAUCUUUUACUUCCUUUUGUCCACACAAUUUUUGAAGUGUCUUUGUAUAACUAGUAAACAGUAAUGGUUUCUCGCGCUUCUUAUAGCCUUUGGUAAACCUGUUGUCUGCUGUUUCUAAGAUUUGGAAUACUUCAGAUCCUUAAAAGGAGUAAGAGCAGGCAGUUUUGUGCUUGCUUGCUUGCUUUUCUUUUUCUUUUUUUUUUUUUUCUUUUUGAGGUGCUUUCAGAUUGUUUCCCAUAAAGGCUGCACCACUGUGCUUGCUCACUAGGAGUACCCGAAUCCAACCUCUCCACGUUCUCACCAGUGCCUGUUGUCUUCUUUUAUGGCGGAGAUUUUAUUGGUUGUGCUAAGGAUCAAUAAACACACUUCCAUUUGUCCACAAUUUUUAGCAGAUAUUUUAUUUAUUAAUUUGAUACACAGAGAGAAAGAGAGUGCUCCCAUCUGUUGGUUUACUUCCAGGUGUCCGCAGUGAGGAGGGAGGAAGGAGCAAAGCCAGGAGCCCGGUUGCCCACCGCCACCCUCCUAGGGUUGCAGGGACUCUUCACCUGCCGCCUCUCAGCUGGAAUCAGAAGCAGAGGCCAGGAUUUGGAUGCAGGCACUGAGAUACAGGCUGCACACAACUGGUGUCUUAACUACUAAGCCAAAUACCUACCCCUGCCCACAAUUCUUUUUUUCUUUUUUAAAGAUGUAUUUAUUUGAAAGGCAGAGUUACAGAGAGGCAGAGGCAGAGGGAAUAAGAGAGAGAGAGAGAGAGACUGUAACAGCUGGGGCUGGGCUGAUCCAAAGCCAGGAGCCAGGAGCCUCCUCCAGGUCUCCCACGUAGGUGCAGGGGCCCAAGGAUUUGGGCCAUCUUCUAUUGCUUUCCCAGGCCAUAGCAGAGAGCUGGAUCGGAAGAGGAGCAGCCAGGACGCGAACUGGCGCUUAUAUGGGAUGCCGGCACUGCAUGCUGCGGCUUUACCCACUACACCACAGUGCUGGCCUCAUGUCCACAAUUUUUUUUUUUUUUUUGACAGGCAGAGUGGACAGUGAGAGAGAGAGACAGAGAGAAAGGUCUUCCUUUUGCCGUUGGUUCACCCUCCAAUGGCCGCCACGGCCGGCGCGCUGCAGCCAGCGCACCGCGCUGAUCCGAAGGCAGGAGCCAGGUGCUUCUCCUAGUCUCCCAUGGGGUGCAGGGCCCAAGCACUUGGGCCAUCCUCCACUGCCUUCCUGGGCCACAGCAGAGAACUGGCCUGGAAGAGCAGCAACUGGGACAGAAUCUGGCACCCCGACGGGGACUAGAAUCCGGUGUGUCGGCGCCGCAGGCGGAGGAUUAGCCUAGUGAGCCGCGGCGCCGGCCCACAAUUCUUAACACACUGUUCUGAACAUCUGAGAGAGAAUAUCUUCCAUCUGCUGGUUCAUUCCCCACAUUCCAAGGGCUGGACCAGGUAGAAGCCAAGAGCCCAGAACUAAAUCCAGAUCUGCCACGUUGGUGGCCAGGACCCCACCACUUGAGCCAUCUUACGUUGCAUCCUGAAAUGACAAUUAUCACAAUCAGACUUGAACCAGCAUUCUGAUACAGAUUGCAGGUGUCCCAAGUAGUAGUUUAACCCCCUACCCCGGUGCUACAACUUCCACACCUGUGACUGUUUUUUCUUUUCUUUCUUUUCUCCUUUUUCCCUUCCCUUCCUCUACCCUCCUCUCCACCUCCCUCCCUUCUUCCUUCCUUCCUUGUCUGGGGCAGGCUGACACCAGGAGCCGGGAACUCCAUCAGGGCUCCCUAUCAGGGACCCAAGCACUUCGGCUAUCUCCUGGCCGCUUUCCCAGUUCUGUUAGUGGGGAGCUGGAUCGGAGGCACUCGGGUAUGGGAUGCCAUCAUCGAAAGUGGCAGCUUAACUUGCAGCACCACAAUGACAGCCCCUGGGAUUGUUUUCUAAACAGUCAUUUCUGUGAUUUUCUAGCUUAAAAUUUGGAGAGAAUUUUUUUCUUAAGAGGAUAUCAAACAGCAGCCUCUUCAAAUAUUGAAAUGCUAUUAAUUCGCAAUUUAAUAUUUUAUACACUACAUGUUCAAAUGUUCAAUCUUUCACAGCACGUAAAGUUAUUAGGGAAGCUGGACUACCGUGACCAGAACUAUUCCGGCGUGUAUACAGUUCUGACAGAGAGAGCCAAGAUCAAGGAGUGGUUUUCUUUAGGAAACAAUUCGACUGGAAAACAGUAUGGGAAUAGAAGUAAUUUAAAGUGUUCAAGACCUACUAUUUGGAGGACUGUGACUCCGAAUUGCCAUUUAGCAUGCUUUUGUUUUGUAAAUAUAAAUUCUAAUUUGGUCACCCGCUGGACCACCUUUUCUUCCUUGUUUGGUUUGCUUUAGGGUUUUCGCUUCUUGAAGCUGCGCUUCUUAUCUGUCUCUGAUCUGUAAGGGACUAUCGGAGGGGAGCAGACUGGCACAGCCCUCAACUGUAAGAUGAUUAGUCCCUCCUUCUUAAAGAAGAAUCUUCAAUUUUUUUUUUCAUUUUGUUUGAAAGGCAGAGAGAGAGAGAGAGAGAGAGAGAGAUCGAGAUCGAGAUCUGUCAACUUAAUCAUUCCUGAAAUACCAGCAACAGCCAAGGGCUGGGGCCAGACUGAAGCCAGGAGCCCGCAACUCUGUCUAGGUCUCCCAUGUGCAUGGAGCAGGAAGAGCUGACAGCCUCGCUGGUCCUUUGGGCACUUCCCUCCCUGCCCUUUCAGGAAUGCUGACCUUUUCUGGAGCAUCUGCCAGCAGGGAGGGCAUGAGUCAUGUGCCUGGCCGCAAGGGAAACGUGGAUUAAUUUGGAGGAGUCAAAGGAACCCUACAAGGGUGAUUGUUAUUAAAAGAGUCUUGAGUAGACUUUUGUAGGUGAGACAGAAAGCGGACAGUGUGGAGACCCCGGUGGUAAAGGAUUUUGAUGACUGAGUUCUCUGGAGAGAACUGGAUCGAAUAGAACAGGGCCUCAUGAGGAACCAGGAACAGAAGUUUUCUAGCUGAGGAGUUGGAAAUGAACCCCAGUGUACACAAGAAGCCAGAAGGAAGAACUUUGAGCUCAGGAGUCACGGAUGGCAAGAAGCCUGGUGCUCUAACCCCCUCUCAGGGACUUCGCUCAGAACGGACAUAGCACAGAGCUGGAUCGGAAGUGGAGCAGUCGGGACUCCAAGCGGCAUCCACAAGAGAUGCCGGCGCUGCAGGUGACAGCUUUAUCUGCUACACCACGCCAGCCCCAGACUUAUUCUGAAGCUCUUGGAUGUGUGAAUGUUAGAAGUUCUCUGCCCAAUUAAUGUGGAGUUUGAUGGCGUGGAAUUACUGUGGAGAUCAGAGAGCCAUCUUGGAAGUCAGCCUUGGACGCAAUCGGCAGCUUUCGACGAAGCUGAAUGUCCCCUUCCCCGCUGCUGGCUGCCGAGACUCAUUAAAGUGGACGAUGAAUGUCAGCUUCGUGCUCGUUAUGAGUAGCACUGGCCACGGACGUUGCUGCUCACAGUCUCUGAGAAGAACGGAAGGGUUUUGUGGUCUGAAUCCGUGGUGGGAAUGGCAAACGAGGUUUCCCCAUGAAGCAGCAGGGUGUCCUGACCGUGGUGGAGUCUGCCCGCUGCUGAGUAGGGGGCACUCCUGUUAAAGACCAGGGGAACUGGAGAAAGAAAGUGCAAAUCUGUCCGGUUGAAUUGUGGAUGACAGUUGGAGCCUUUUCAAGCUGGUUUUUGUUAGGAGAGAGAGAGGGAGGAAGGGAGAGAGGGAGGAUAUUCUUGACAGAUCAGUAUAUCCAGUUCCUCGUCACCUGGAGCCCAAAAGAACUAUGAGAAUCCACAAACCUCUCGGUCUCUACAGAGACUUUACAAAGAAGAUGAUGUCUGCCAAUAUGUAUUAAGAGAGCCCUUGCAAAAGAAGAUAGGAACCCAAGACCAAGCACCUGAGGUUCAGCAUCCUACUACUCUACGCGUUCUGCAAUAGCAAUGCUGGGGAAUUGCCCUGAGGAAACAAGGGUACUAAGAAACCAGGGAGGGGAGGCAGCGCUGAGGCUGAACGAGUUAAGCCGCCACCUGCAAUCCCAGCAUCCCAUAUGGGCGCUGGUUCAAGUCCAGGCUGCUCCACUUCUGAUCCAGUUCUAUGCUAAUGCACCUGCGAAAGCAGAGGAGGAUGGCUCAGUCCUUGGGCCCCUGCCAACCACACGGUAGACCGGGGAUGGAGCCCUGGACAUUGUGGUCAUUUGGGAGUGAACCAGCAGA